AAGGGAGCAAAUGAUUAAUAUUGUUCAAAGCCUAAAUUUCACAAGAACAAUUUUAUUAAAACCAAUGCACGACACGAGCACAACUUACAUUCAACAGUAUUUGUCUUGCAAAGAUCUUGAUAUUUGUGAUACUAAUAACAGGAGUGGAUCAAAUCAAAUGUCUUUAAACGUCAAAUCUGGAUCUUUUCUGUCAACAAAAACAAAUAGAAGUCGAAAGUGGCAUUCGGUAGCAUACAUAUUCUGAUAUGUCAUAUCGAUCUAAUUCUGUAGCUAGUAGUAUAAAUAUCUUAAAAGUGCGCUUACGGUUUAUACAAAAAUGAGCUCUAUUCAUCAACACUUUUUACAUUCCACAUCUAACACAGAUUCAACAUUCAAAGGCACAGGACUUCACUUCAAAACCAUCGAAAAUAAUCAGAGAAGUAAUUCAAGUAAUCUUACAUUGCGGAAAGAUUUUGGUCGAAAGGAAACGAUGGCACAGAAUUGUAAAAAAUCAAUACAAUACUUUCAGAAGUGAUGGAAACUAGUGAUUAUGGGGAAAUUAAGAGCAAAUGAUCAACUCUCUGCAGCUGCUUCCCAGUGACGCCACUGAAAUGAUCCAGAAAAUCAUAAAACCACUAGUUCAGUCGACUAAUGCAAGCUUUCAACAUAUGUGGUUUAUGAAGGUUUUUCUGUCACAUGCAUUGAAAAGGAAAAAAAAAAAGUAAAAAUCGUUAAAUUAAAAAUAGCAGUAGCAAGUAGAAAUAACAGCUGAUCUAAGUGCUGAAUGACAUCACUAAGUAUAGACGUAUGGCAUAAAGUAGAAAAGAAUUAACAAUCAAAUUCCACUUGGCAUAGAAAUCCUUAAACAUAUCCUACAUCCAAAAAGGAAAAAAAAAUAAUUGUAAAAAGGAAAUAUUACAUGCUGACUUGUGUAGAAAGAUUGCAUAAUGAUGAUUAUACCUCGGGACAUCCAAAGUGCAUAUCCUUUUUUUUUUUUUUUUUUCUUCUUCGUCUGCAUUACUAAUCUUAUUUAUAACUGAGGUGAAUCUCACAAAUAUGGAAGUCCAUUUCCGCCAUGGGAUGAAGAAUGAAAGAAAGGUAAUUGCUACUUUUUCCUCUCAAAAUUCAGAAAUUCUGAGAAUAAUCUGAGAUAUAAACUCAGAAUUCCGAGAUAAAAAUUCAACAUUCCGAGAUACAACCUUUGAACUGCAAGAUAUAAACUCAGAAUUCUGAGAUAAAAACAUGCAAUUCUGAAUAAUAAUAAUAAUAAUAAUAAUAAUAGAAUUGCAAGAUAAAAAUUCACAAUUAAUUUUAAUACAUAGUGAAUAAAAAUAAAUAAAUAAAACACAAAUACAAAAAUGUAAACUCACAAUUCAGAGAAAAAAGGUCAGAGGUGCAAGACGAAUGCAGAAUUGAUUGAUGCAAACUCAGAAUUGCAAGAAAAAAGUUGGAUUCUAAUUUCAUAUGUCAUUUUUUUUAAUUCUGUUUAAUUCUAUAUAUUGCAAUUCUGAUUUCAUAUCUCAAAAUUCUUUUAGAAGUUUUCAGAAUUUCACAAAAGUUUUCAGAAUUGCCAGAAAAACAUUGUAAUUAUUCUUUCUUAUUCUAUGGCAGAAACAAACUUGCACAAACAAAAUCAUGUUCGGGUCAUAUUUUCCCCAGAAACAGAAAUGAAAAAGUUGCAUAUUGCAAAUAAAUAUAAAAAUAAAGCAUAUUUUAAGAUCAUCAUGAUUUUUUGUAACAUUUUAAUGACACAUUGUCAUUACUCUACUGCAAAUAAUAAUGAAUAACAUGUGCAUCAUGAUGUUGUUCUGCCUUUUAAUUUAUUCUGAUCAAGCACUAUUACAGUAAAGUACAAUGCCUAACGGUCAUACUGUCUGAUUUUGGGGUGAAAUGUGAGCUGGACAUGUUUUCAUGAGAUUCACUCAGUCAUUAAAGCGACCUCUUGAUGCUAACUGGAAAAUUCUGACUGUUAUAUUAAACGAAAGAAUUAAACGAGUUUCAUAAAACCUCCUAAACAGAAACCGGGACGAAUUGAAACGGUCCCUCAAUACAGCAAAUAAAACACUGUAUGCAAAUAUAUAUUUUUAAAUGACCUAAAGGCGUCUGUUAUGGGUUUGAAAAUAAAUAAAGCUUAUAAACUUGAAACACAUCUUCACAAAUUGAUAAUAGUUCAUCACAAUAGUUCAUUACAACACGAGCUAUACUGCUGACAUUUACAGAUGUGUAGAAGCACAAACGGCCGGCUGACUGUAAGCAUGCAUCCCUGAAACUGCUCCAGGUCAGUGUGGGACAGACCAGUCUGUUUCUAAUGUACAUCAGGACAGUCGUUUACAACCAAACCAACAGCAGCAAGAAGAAGAUUAAUCAAGAAUCAUCAUCCGUUUCAGUGCAAAUAAACCAGGAACCGUUCAGACUCUCACGCCCGGAAGAGUGAAUCUCACAAAGCCUGGCGAGAAAUCAACCCACGAAUCACAAAAAAAAACUGAAUUAAAAUACAUCAUUAAAAAUAAAU
ensembl:lncRNA